GGGGCCUUAGCUCAGCUGGUAGAGCGCCUGCUUUGCAAGCAGGAUGUCAGGAGUUCGAAUCUCCUAGGCUCCACGA
rnacentral:tRNA from 1 species